AUAUUGGACAAUGGAGGCAACUCUGAUCCAGCCAUGCCGCGGGAAGGAAUAAGGACCUAUGGGUUGUAAACUUCUUUUAGACGGGACAAAACCCCUUUACGUGUAAAGGGUUGAUGGUACUGUCAGAAUAAGCAUCGGCUAACUUCGUGCCAGCAGCCGCGGUAAUACGAAGGAUGCAAGCGUUAUCCGGAAUUAUUGGGUUUAAAGGGUGCGUAGGCGGACUAAUAAGUCAGGGGUGAAAGCCUGCAGCUUAACUGCAGAAUUGCCAUUGNUACUGUUAGUCUUGAGUACAGUUGAGGUAGGCGGAAUGUGUCAUGUAGCGGUGAAAUGCUUAGAUAGGACACAGAACACCGAUUGCGAAGGCAUCUUGCUAAGCUGUAACUGACGCUGAGGCACGAAAGCGUGGGGAGCAAACA
rnacentral:rRNA from 1 species